rnacentral:rRNA from 1 species
UGGGGAAUUUUGGACAAUGGGCGAAAGCCUGAUCCAGCAAUGCCGCGUGUGUGAAGAAGGCCUUCGGGUUGUAAAGCACUUUUGUCCGGAAAGAAAUCCUUGGCUCUAAUACAGUCGGGGGAUGACGGUACCGGAAGAAUAAGCACCGGCUAACUACGUGCCAGCAGCCGCGGUAAUACGUAGGGUGCAAGCGUUAAUCGGAAUUACUGGGCGUAAAGCGUGCGCAGGCGGUUUGCUAAGACCGAAUGUGAAAUCCCCGGGCUCAACCUGGGAACUGCAUUGGUGACUGGGCAGGCUAGAAGUAUGGCAGAGGGGGGUAGAAUUCCACGUGUAGCAGUGAAAUGCGUAGAGAUGUGGAGGAAUACCGAUGGCGAAGGCAGCCCCCUGGGGCCAAUACUGACGCUCAUGCACGAAAGCGUGGGGAGCAAACAGGAUUAGAUACCCU